ensembl:lncRNA
CUCUCUGUUGGCUUGCCCCCGAGCCAACACACUGUCUACGGUAUCACUCAACACUGUGCAAGGAAAACACGGAGCAGACAGCAUGGCAACGGCGGCUCUCGUUUGAAAGCAACAUAAACGGACAUUAGCGUUGGAGUCAUGAAAGGAUCCUUCUGCUCACUCAGAUGAUCUGAGCAACAAGGACAUGAGCUGCCCCCAGCUACUCCGGGCCCAACUGAAUCUGACUCCUUACACCACCAAGAUGGAGACGUCUACCCCAAUACGGGUAAAAAGGCAUUGAAUUGAAGUCUUCUCAACAGAAAAAGCCUGUAAUUAUUGGGAUGAGGUGUUCUUAUCCGAACUACGGGACAAUGAAAUAUUAGCACCUUGCAGCAUGUUGGUUUUCAGUCUAAUAAAUAUGCUAUAAUAUGAAUAAUAAUAUCCUUGAGAGAAUGAAUGCAUCCAAAUUAUUUUAGGAUUAGUUAAAUUUGAUAAAGAAAAAUGCAUAAUAGAUAGUUGGUUCUUGAAGAUGGGAAUUAUGUGCAUUGGUGCAAUUGUAAUGAAUGUCACCCAACUGAAACUGUAGAAUCAAGCUCGCCGGUCUUGUAGCUUUGGAGACGGUAGAAGGAGCCCUAGCUUCCCUAUUAUAGGACAGACCGCGGCCCAGAACCAGGAAGAGGAGGGGUCGUCACGACAACGACGCAUAACCAUUGCGUCCUACAUGCCCCAGUCGUCUAAGGACCAGAAUGGAAACUUUGCAGAGAAGGACAACAACGGGCACGGGGCCAAGGCUCUCCCAGGACUCAACACAGAUGAAGUCUGCCAAUGGUUUAGCAGUCUCGGACUGCAGAGAUGCCUCCCUUUCAUCAGAGAGGGACACCUGUGUGGCGCAGAUAUCGCCUCCGUGGACGCCAGCACCCUGGAGAUGCUCCACCUGUCCACGCCCGAGGACCGGGAGCUGCUGCUGUCCAACAUCUACAGAGAGCUCCACCCGCCCAAUAGCCUGACCCGGAGACUGGACUCUCUGAUCGAAACAUUUGGGCCUCAUAACAACGUGGAGAGCUUUACCGCGGCGCUCGUGUCCAUGAGCAAGUCCAUGUCCGCCCCUCACGUGAGCGGCCUCACCGCGAUGCCUUCCUCCCUAAUGCUCAGAGCCAAGAGCAGCAUGGGGCAGAGGAGCACUCAGCUGAUAGAGAUCACCGUUCAUGCAUUAGAGCAAAUCGUCCAUCUGCGUACGCCAAAAGAAACCACAGUGGGGAAGGUCAAAGAGUCCUGUGUCAAGAUGCUGGGCCUGACAGAGGAUACGCACACCUUUACGCUCAAAGACAACACAGGGCUAAGCGAUGGACUCUCAGCCAAUCAACAGAUUGGCAACCUGUUGACAACCUCCAAGAGACAACUGGAGUUGCACCUGUGUAAAAAGGACAAACAAACAGAAGGCGAGACCUCAAAAGUGAACGGUUCUCAAUACAACGUAAACCAGAAUGUGCAGCCAGCGAAAGAGGAGAAGAUCAAGGAACUGAACCAGCAGGUGGACUCUCUGCAACACGUCAUCCUCCAGGUCCAGGAACUCCACCACGGGCUGGUGGCCUUCUGCUCUGAGCUGAAGAGCGUGGACGUGGAGGUGGAUGUGACGGAGCUCAGUCCCGUCGAGCUGAGACAUCGGUUGGAAUCGGCCCAGAGCCAACUGCAGGAGAAGAGGCAGAGCCUUCAGAACCUGAAGGAGAACAUCAGCAACGCUGCAGCACAGAGGAACAUGGAAUGGCGCUCGGAGAUCCGCCUCAUUGACAAGAUGAAACUGAACUGUCAGGUGUUCAAGGCGGAGAUCUCCGUGGUGCAUCUCAACAGACAGGUGGCCCACCUGAAGAAUGCUCUUCAGGAUCGCUGUGAUAAGGAGAGACCUCCAGCAGAGCCAAGCCCUGCCGUGGGUCCCUUGAGCCAGCUGCUGUCCCCGCAGUGCCCAGCCUUGCUUCUGGUGGUCCAGGCGUGCCCGGGGCCCGACAGCCGAUACGGCUUCUCCUGCUGCUCCAGGGGGGCCGGUCAAGGCCUGGUGGUCACCCAGUCGGACCACUCCCAACUCUGCCUGGAGGACAGGCUGGUGGAGGUGAACGGCGUUGCCGUGGUGAAUUCCACCGAGGAAGACCUCCACGGCCUCCUGCUGCAGGGGGGCUCCAGCGCCCAGAUCGUAGUCCUGCGAAGGCCCUCGCUAAGGCCCGCCUCCUGCCAGCCCCCCGGGCCUGUCCAUCAACCGGCUCACCAUGUGCCUCCCCCCGCCGGCUCUCCGGAGGGGGGAGCGGUCGUCAAGGAAACCCCUCCACAGAGGAAGCUGAUAGCCAUUUGAAGAAUUUGUCGUUGUGUGUAAUAUGUGUGUGUGUAGUGUGUAGUGUGUGUAUAUUCGGGAUGUGUUGUGGGUAAUAUGUUGUAGGGAUUGUGUUAUGUUGUGUGUAUGUGCGUGUUCAUGUGGGCCAGAGAGAGAAAGAGAGAGAGAGAGUGAGCGAGCUGAUGUGAGGGGAGACAAUGUGUAGCAGAGUGAGGAGAGAGGAGAUAGAGGGAGAUGGGGGCAGUGAUGGCGUGGUGCUAAGUCCGCAUCAAGUCAAGCUUUAGCUGUCGCUGCCAAAUUAAUAGAGAUAACCUACUUUGUAGUUGUGUUGGUUAAAUAAAAAAGAAUGGUCUCGC